rnacentral:rRNA from 1 species
GAUUAACGCUGGCGGCGUGCCUAACACAUGCAAGUCGAGCGAGAAGUCGGAAGUGAAACUUCGGUGAAGCAGAAGAUGGAAAGCGGCAGACGGGUGAGUAACGCGUGAAUAAUCAAUCCUGUACAAAGGGAUAGCCUCGGGAAACCGGGAUUAAUACCAUAUGAAGUAUAUUAAUCGCAUGAUAGAUAUAUUAAAACUUUGGUGGUACAGGACGAGUUCGCGUCCCAUUAGCUAGUUGGUGAGAUAAAAGCUUACCAAGGCGACGAUGGGUAGCCGGCCUGAGAGGGUGAACGGGCCACACUGGGAACUGAGACACGGUCCAGACUCCUACGGGAGGCAGCAGUGGGGAAUAUUGCACAAUGGAGGAAACUCUGAUGCAGCGACGCCGCGUGAGCGAAGAA